GUUGUACGAGUUGAGACUCGUAGCGGAAAGCUCAGUAACACGUGGUCAAGCUACCCUGUAGCGACGGAUAACCUCGGGAAACUGAGGCUAAUACGUCAUAACGCUCGAGAUCUGGAGUGAUUCGAGCCGGAAACGCCUUUGGUGCUACAGGAUGCGACUGCGGUCGAUUAGGUAGACGGUGGGGUAACGGCCCACCGUGCCCAUAAUCGGUACGGGUUGUGAGAGCAAGAGCCCGGAGACGGUAUCUGAGACAAGAUACCGGGCCCUACGGGGCGCAGCAGGCGCGAAACCUUUACACUGUACGGAAGUGCGAUAGGGGGACUCCGAGUGUGUGGGCAUAGAGCUCACACUUUUGUAGACCGUAAGGUGGUCUACGAAUAAGAGCUGGGCAAGACCGGUGCCAGCCGCCGCGGUAAUACCGGCAGCUCGAGUGAUGACCGAUUUUAUUGGGCCUAAAGCGUCCGUAGCUGGCCAGGCAAGUCCGUUGGGAAAUCCACCUGCUCAACAGGUGGGCGUCCAGCGGAAACUGCUUGGCUUGGGACCGGAAGAUCCAAGGGGUACGUCCGGGGUAGGAGUGAAAUCCUGUAAUCCUGGACGGACCGCCGAUGGCGAAAGCACCUUGGAAGGACGGAUCCGACAGUGAGGGACGAAAGCUAGGGUCUCGAACCGGAUUAGAUACCCGGGUAGUCCUAGCUGUAAACGAUGUCCGCUAGGUGUGGCACAGGCUACGAGCCUGUGCUGUGC
rnacentral:rRNA from 1 species